rnacentral:rRNA from 1 species
AUCCUGGCUCAGGACGAACGCUGGCGGCGUGCCUAAUACAUGCAAGUCGAGCGGACAGAAGGGAGCUUGCUCCCGGAUGUUAGCGGCGGACGGGUGAGUAACACGUGGGUAACCUGCCUGUAAGACUGGGAUAACUCCGGGAAACCGGAGCUAAUACCGGAUAGUUCCUUGAACCGCAUGGUUCAAGGAUGAAAGACGGUUUCGGCUGUCACUUACAGAUGGACCCGCGGCGCAUUAGCUAGUUGGUGGGGUAAUGGCUCACCAAGGCGACGAUGCGUAGCCGACCUGAGAGGGUGAUCGGCCACACUGGGACUGAGACACGGCCCAGACUCCUACGGGAGGCAGCAGUAGGGAAUCUUCCGCAAUGGACGAAAGUCUGACGGAGCAACGCCGCGUGAGUGAUGAAGGUUUUCGGAUCGUAAAGCUCUGUUGUUAGGGAAGAACAAGUGCGAGAGUAACUGCUCGCACCUUGACG